rnacentral:rRNA from 1 species
AUGGCGGCCAACAAGAGCUCACGGGCGGCACCCCCGGUGCCGGUGUCUCCGACGACGACGACCGUGCACCACGUCCCCGACAAGCUCCUCAGGCUCAUCUUCGAGCGCCUCGGCUGGCCCCUCUGGUUCGUCCGCGCCGCCGCCACAUGCAGGCGGUGGCGCCGAAUCAUCCUUCACGUGUACAUCCCCCGUCGACAACUACUGCACCCCCUCGUCGUAGGCAGUUACCGCAACAACCGCGCCGCGCUCGCCCGCGGCCCCGUCUUCGUUCCUUCCCCGCUCGCGGUGGCCGCCGUGGAGCGCCGCCACUUCUCCCUCGACUUCCUCCCCGGCGGUGGCGGGCCAUGGGAGAUCAUCGACAGCUCCCGCAGUGUGCUGCUCCUGGCAAAGAGGAAGACAGGGUGGAUGCGCCGCUGCUUCCCGGACCUGGUGCUCUGCGAGCCGGCCACGCGGCGCUACCAGCUCAUCCCGCGCAUGGAGGAGAUGAAGCACGAGCGCUACUUCGGCGCCUUCCUCUAUGGAGACGGAGCCAUCAACGUGGGCUCGUGGGAGGAGAAGAGCUAUAACCAGUCCACGUUCCAGGUGGUCUGCCUGCUCUACCAAAGGCACGACCGCGUGUGUGAGGAGAUUGGCAGGGCCAGGGUCUGCGUCUUCUACUACUACACUCAUUGUGGCAGAUUGGUCUUGAACCGUCCGCCAGGAUGGUACCUCAAGAAGGAGUACCAUGGGCCGUCGUCUCUUAAUCUUCAUGGUCCAGAAUCUCUCUAUUUCUUGGGGCGCACGACACAUUUUCCGUAUUGGGGUAUCAAGCAUGAUGAUCGAGCCUUGCUGCUUUUUAAAGGAUAUACCGAAGUCUACAAUGUGCCCGACGUCGCUCGAGGGUCGGUCUUCCGUCUUGUUGAUCAUACCAGUCAGUACGACAAGAUUCGUGUUGUUUGCUUGCAUGGCAGCACUCUACGGAUCUUUGUGGCGCUGUUUUAUAAUAUGGAGAACUCGGUGCUUGAAAAGAGCAUCCAGUUAACGGAGGCUACAAGUGGGCUGGUAGGAUACAAAGAGGAAUACCUGCGAGGUGGUAGCGGUGCCCUGGAGAUUAUUGCGGCCGACAAGGGGUCUGUAGUCCUCGCCGCAGCAGCAAAGGCGUGGAUGUUCUCGGUCGACCUUGAGACCAUGGACGUGGCGGAGUACAAGUGCAAGAAGAAUGACGACGUCGUGGCCUAUCCUUGUGAGCUUCCAUGGCCACUCACCCUGAAUGCUUGUAAGGUUUGGUGUAAGUGA